AUCGCUUCUCGGCCUUUUGGCUAAGAUCAAGUGUAGUAUCUGUUCUUAUCAGUUUCAUGCCGGUGGCAGGCGAUGCCGGUGUGGAGCUGGUGGGGAUGGGUGCUGCAUGGUAGGGGGCAGGUGUACCGAGGCGUUCUGGGGCUGGUUCUGAGGAAUCAGUUAGACGACUGCCCUGAUGUGACCUGUC